CCAGACUCCUACGGGAGGCAGCAGUGGGGAAUCUUCCGCAAUGGGCGAAAGCCUGACGGAGCAACGCCGCGUGAGUGAAGAAGGUCUUCGGAUCGUAAAGCUCUGUUGUCGGGGACGAAAGGGUAGACGAGGUAAUGCGUUUACUAAGACGGUACCCGACGAGGAAGCCACGGCUAACUACGUGCCAGCAGCCGCGGUAAUACGUAGGCGGCAAGCGUUGUCCGGAAUUAUUGGGCGUAAAGGGAGCGCAGGUGGGACGGUAAGUCCGUCUUAAAAGGCAGGGGCUCAGCCCCUGUAAGGGAUGGAAACUAUCGAUCUUGAGUGCCGGAGAGGAAAGCGGAAUUCCCAGUGUAGCGGUGAAAUGCGUAGAUAUUGGGAAGAACACCAGUGGCGAAGGCGGCUUUCUGGACGGCAACUGACACUGAGGCUCGAAAGCCAGGGGAGCGAACGGGAUUAGAUACCCCGGUAGUCCUGGCCGUAAACGAUGGAUACUAGGUGUAGGAGGUAUCGACCCCUCCUGUGCCGGAGUUAACGCAAUAAGUAUCCCGCCUGGGGAGUACGGUCGCAAGACUGAAACUCAAAGGAAUUGACGGGGGCCCGCACAAGAA
rnacentral:rRNA from 1 species